GGGGCCCUACGGGACGCAGCAGUGAGGAAUAUUGGUCAAUGGUCGGGAGACUGGACCAGCCAAGCCGCGUGAGGGAUGAAGGUUCAGAGUAUCGUAAACCUCUUUUGUCAGGGAACAAAGGCGGGGACGUGUCCCCGGAUUUGUGUACCUGAAGAAAAAGCAUCGGCUAACUCCGUGCCAGCAGCCGCGGUCAUACGGAGGAAGCGGGCGUUAUCUGGAUUUAUUGGGUUUAAAGGGGGCGAAGGCGGUCUGUUAAGUC
rnacentral:rRNA from 1 species